AAGUUAUAGUCCCCCGGCCCUCCGGCCGGGGUCCUCUAUACCACCCUUUGUUUAUUACACCUUUGUUGCUUUGGCAGGCCUGCCCUCGGGCUGCUGGCUCCGGCCGGCGAGCGCCUGCCAGAGGACCUAAACUCUGUUUGUCUAUAAUGUCUGAGUACUAUAUAAUAGUUA
rnacentral:misc_RNA from 1 species